rnacentral:rRNA from 1 species
UACGUAGGGACCAAGCGUUGUUCGGAUUUACUGGGCGUAAAGGGCGCGUAGGCGGCAAUUCAAGUCAGCUGUGAAAUCUCUGGGCUUAACCCAGAACGGUCAGCUGAUACUGCUUUGCUAGAGUGCAGAAGGGGCAAUCGGAAUUCUUGGUGUAGCGGUGAAAUGCGUAGAUAUCAAGAGGAACACCUGAGGUGAAGACGGGUUGCUGGGCUGACACUGACGCUGAGGCGCGAAAGCGUGGGUAGCAAACAGG